CCUGGUUAUUUGAGCGGUUUGGCACCACCUCUUACCAUCCCGAACAGAGAAGUGAAACGAGCCAGCGCCAAUGAUACUCACUCCCAACGGAGCUGGGGAAAGUAGGUCGUAGCCGGGG
rnacentral:rRNA from 7 species